rnacentral:lncRNA from 1 species
UAAGAAUGAAUUAAAUAUUCAAAAGUAUUUCUAAAGAUUCUUGCUUCUUCAUAAAUUUUUAACAUGAAAAUGGCAUAUAAGAAUAACACAAAAAUCUAAAAAUUUAUGCACAUAUAUCAUAAUAAAUCAUCUAAACUUCAAUUCAUCAAACGCCUUUUUUAUUAUUAUUAAAACUCACCUUGACGGUGGGGGUUUAGGCAUAACCCCAAAUCUGUAUAUUAGCAUCCAAAAUGAGAACACAUGAAGAAGGGGGACAUAAAACCUUACCUCUCCAUCCACAUCAAGUAAAUCCUAAGUGUGGAUCGUACACCUUUGCGGAGUGCAAUUGGUUGACUAAGAGGAGACAAAUCCGCAGUAGGUGCAGAAUCUGAUGCGGGGCGUGAAUCACCUGGGCCUGAUGCUGGAUGUGGACGACGAUGAUAAGUCAAGAAUGGUGGAGCUGCAGAAGGUUGAACUGGAUUAUGUGGAGAAACUGGAGCUAUAGGUGGUGGAGCUACAACCGGAAUUGUAGGUGGUGGAACUGGAGCUAUAGGUGGUGGAGCUACAAC